rnacentral:rRNA from 1 species
UACGGGGGGGGCAAGCGUUGUUCGGAAUUACUGGGCGUAAAGGGCUCGUAGGUGGCCAACUAAGUCAGACGUGAAAUCCCUCGGCUUAACCGAGGAACUGCCUGCCAGACUGUGAGGCUUGAGACCGGGAGAGGUGAGUGGAAUUCCCAGUGUAGCGGUGAAAUGCGUAGAUAUUGGGAGGAACACCAGUGGCGAAGGCGGCUCACUGGACCGGAACUGACGCUGAGGCGCGAAAGCGUGGGGAGCAAACAGG